ensembl:lncRNA
GUAUUUUUCAGCGACAACAUGUUUGGGGCGUUUGUCUUCGUUUACACACAGGUGUUCGGGAAACGCAGAUUGGUAUUUACCACAGGUAGUCCGUCUUCCAUCUGUUUUCCAUUAACAAGCGCUGUAGCAUGGAAAUAUAGGCCCGUGUGGGAAUCCUAACACUAUGGGUGGACCGGAAACCCAGUGACAACACUUGGGUCUGCAGGUGCCAUUUUCCUGCGGGAAAGAGAAAUGGCCCUGUAUUUACCAGAAAAGGUGCUCGUCCACCAUGGCAGAAGAGGAAGAUCCGGACUGUUGUUUGGGAAACAAGAACAAACAAUGAGGCGUGAGGAUUAGGUGUUGAGGGACCACAUGUCACAUUGUCCAAGUUCAACAGAGUGCAUCCCUCAGGCCUUCCGGUACAUGGAUAACCUGUGCCAGUGUGAUCCGAGCGCAAGAGUCCAGUUGUAGACUACAGCAGAUCGAGCUUGUGGACGGACAGAUCAGCUUCCCUGAAAACAGGUACUGACAGGAGGCGCGACAAAAACGCUGAUCCAGUGCCCCCCCCAUCAAAAAAACUGAUUGGAAUAAAACCUCAAAGUGACAACUUUGGGAGCAUGUGGUCCUUGAAAAACUCCUCUAGUCCAGCAAUAUGAGUCUGCCAAAGGUCGUCACGCUGGAUGGGGAUGGUGAUGGAGGCUAUGGUGGUCCACUCAACAAAGAAGCAACUGUCCCUUCCAGUGGAGAUGCCCUUGGACCUGGUGCCAGUAAGGAUAGUCUUCACGGUGGCGUUAAUACCCUCACUCCUCAUGGAUAUAGAAAUCCUUCAACUUCACUGCGUCUUCAAUGGUAAAUUCUCUUGCACCAUACGGACACUUGACCUCCACCACUGCUGUGGUGCCCACCAAACCAUCCGGUGAGAUACCCAGGAUCCCAUAGCCUGUGUCCCAAAGCCCUGACUCCUGCACAUCCAUCCCUGUAGCCAUUUUGAAUGCCUUGAUACCCUCAUCUUCAUUAUCUGUGCCCCACUUUACAGACAACACCCCAUCCAACGACUGUGAUUGGAGGACCCUUUUUUUUAUAGCAGCGACAAAGUAAUGCUCUUAGUCCUAACUGCUACAAAUUGCUGGCCGUCAACCUCCUCUCCUCAUGGUGUGUCAGUUGAGGUUGGUGCUCUGUCAAACGUUUGCCUGCUGUAUAGCCUCCUGCUGCUCCACCGGCAGCGCCAUGCCAGCCAAGAUGCCUGCAUGCCCUAGGUGCCCUUCUUUUUAACAAUGUCCGGUACAGACAGGUUCUUAUGGCUCAGGUUCAUGGAGCCAUGCCAUUCCACUGAACCUGCACCAGAGGCUGUUCCUUAGCCACUGAAGAUCCUCCUCUGUUGGCUCUCGGGACAGAGGGUUGUAAGUGUUCUGCCGGGUACAGGUCCUCCACUGACUGCACCUGGUUGGGCACGACUGGCUUCCUCUACUCGCAUUCCACAUACGUACAGCCAAUAACUGCAAAAAUAGCUAAUGCAGCCACAUGGCUACACUUAUGAGCUCCACGGCAGCAUUCACAUGUGGUAGAUAGAAUCGCCUGGUCACCAAUAGAGAAAUGCCAAGAGGAAGGAUUUUAAGUGCCACGUGCCUUUCAAUGCAUGACUUUGAAUGCCAUGAACUGCAUUUGUUGUAAGAAAUGUGUUGUAUAAAUAAAGUUUGAUUUAAUUAAUGACAUUACUGCUGUAGAAUAUUUAAUAAACAGUAAUUUUCAUGAGGACAAGUGCAGUUUUUCCGUAAAAUUUUAAUUGAUAACUUGGGAUUUUAUCACGUGAC